CCCCGCCGCCGGCCGCCGCCGCCAGGUGCGCCCCGCCCCGCCCGGCAGCGGGCCUGGGGCGUGUCCCGGCGCCGCCAUUGUGCGCGCUCCCGCCGCCCGCGCCUUCCCCGCGGCCCGCGGCAGGGUGAAACGGGGCUGCGGGCAGCCCGGGGACGGGCGGCCCCUGCUCGCCUGCCCCGCCGCUGGCGCCCUGCUCUGCCAAAAAGCGGCCUCUGCGGGACAGAGCGGGGCGGCGGCGCUCAGCACCGGCACCCGCCGCAGGCCCCGCGUCCGCUACGGCAGGACCUGCCUUGGGCCCCAUGGGCAGCGGCGGGUGCCUGGGGCCGCUGCAGCCGUGCGGACGUGCUGCCCCGGGCGCAGCAGGCGCUCCCGGCCCCACGGGAGCGUGUCCGCCGCGGGAAGCCCCGGGCACCGGCCGUGCUUGCGGGCGCUUCUCGAAGUAAGCGAUGAAAUAGAGUUUGCAGGUAUUCUCUUAGCACCAGCGAACAAUGAUGAUCAUUUAUUUAAAAAUACAAAGUAUCUUAAGUUGUUAAUUAAUGUGUAACCUCAUCUAGCUGUUCCUGCUCGGGCGGGGGGAUUGGACGAGAUGAUCUUGCGAGGUCCUUUCCAAUCCCUGACAUUCUGUGAUUCUGUUUCUGCAGAGUGUUGCACCUUUUAUUUGGUUUAACGUUUCCUGUUUCCGCAUGUGCUGCUGCUCAGGUUCUGCUUUCCCAGUAAGCGAUGUUUUCAGUAGUAUUGGUCCCAUGCCAAGUUGGAGCUUCAGCCACUGCUUACAUUUUGGAAACAAGAUUUUUCCUAGUUGCUCUACUUUCCCCCUAUCCGUGUUGUUCAGGUUCAAGUGAGUACAUGAUAACAGAACAGCUUUUAAAUUCUGAGGUGUCUCAGAAAGAGAAUUGCUCAUCAAAGGUGAAAAGAAGUUCAAAGCAGUUGUAUGAUUUUACGCCUACUUGAUUUAGCACUUGAGGGAGCCUGGUCUUCUUCGGGUACAGGGCAAGAAGUACAGAAGCCCUGAAAUUUUCAGAGUGAAUCAUGGUGUCACCUUGGGCAAGUGUCAGAAAGUUUUGUACCUCCACUGAUGUCAUCUGUGUAAUGGGGAGAAUUUGAAUGGAUGGCUGGAUGUGAAGUUAUAUAAAGCCAUCUUCAAAGAGGGCGGCAUGGUUGUGUCUCCUCAGACCGAGUUACAGUCAGAACUGUGCGUCUGUCAGUACCUGAUUUAUAGCCAGACAUGCAGGGGUAUGAUGCUGUGCCUUGUCUUCAGCCCAUCUUCUACGUAUUUAUCUCAGGUUUUCAAAGUCAUGGCUCACACACUUCUAGGUUGUUGGAUUUUCAACAUAGCUCAAGGUUUUUAACAAAUGCUGGAUACAGGUUCAAAAGUUCAUUUUGGUUCCUUUGCUGGAAAUGAGGACAAUUGCUGGAUCCAGCCCAUGAAAUUUGAAACACUCUAACCUUGCUUGACCUUCAGAUGUUUUCCCUUCUUUGUUUUGGUAUUUUUAUGAUGGUCCUGAGCUCAUACAAGAGAAACAUCUGUUGUAUGUGUUUUGCACUGCAAGCGUUUCUCAAACAUGCAGUUCAGAAUUACUCUUUAUGACCCAGCCCUGCUUUAGCUGAAGCAAUUGAAAUCUCAUUAUUGAUUCAAGUAAGAGCAGGCGCACAUUGGAAUCAUUACAGCAUAACUGAGAUAAUUACCGAGAUGCAUAGGGUCAACAGAAAAUUGCAUUACUUAAAAUAUUUCUAUUUUCCCUUUCAUUUGCUGACUGUAUCAGAAGGGAGAAGUCUUGCUCCUGCCACCUGUCUAUCUAGGUCUGGGAUGCCAGAAUUUUGUUGCUCAGGCCCCUCGGUGGACCUGGGAGUUGUGUUUGAAUGCCCUUGUGUGCAGCAGCAACACAUGUCACCAUGUUGUGGGCAUGAGGAGGACUCACGCUCCACUCAAGACAGCCGCAGUGUGCCAUGGCACAUAUUGGUGCAAAAGAAGACGUUUGCCAGCUGAAGCACCAUUCCUGUUCAUUCAGAGAAAUAUUCAACUGGUUGUGUUUGAUGCAGUCCACUUUGAAAGGGCUUGCCUCCUCCCGGUGGCACUCGUCUUGCAGUCUGGGAACAUUUACUCCGGGUGAAAACCCAGCCCCGUUGCUAUGCUUUCAAAUUGCUCAUUAACUUCCAUGUCAAUGGUGUUGGAUCACACGCGUCGUGAAUGGGAAAAAUAAUUUUAAAUUCCUGUCGGUUGUGAUUCAGCAAUUGUAGUUGUGGUUUAUGUUUACAGGUUUGAUAGCACAUUGAAUGAAAUCCAACUCCAGUAAACUCAGUAGCAAAAUCUCCAUGAUUUCGUGUUUCUGUGAUUUCAAGCUGGUUUUUGUUUAUUGUAACAUAACACAAAAUAAAGUGAGUGUAACCCAUUACUUAUACUGUUGUAAAUCAGGAGUUAUACUGAUGUCAGUAAGAUUAUUUCAGUGUGAAACAGGAUCAGAAGCAAGAUUAAUAACAACAAAUGUGUUUUCAAAAGAGUGAUUGGUGCCUGGCAGCUUACGAUGUCAAGUGGUUCAUGUAUAUUUUGCUAUGUAGAAAAACAAGCAUUCUGUUUCUCAAUAAAUAUUACAAAGUUGCAGAAAACAUCUGUAUUCCUAAGCGGUGUUAAGUGAAAGGAAAGCUACAUUAUUUCUGCAGCUCAAGUGAUUUAUAGCACUCUUCAGCCACUUUGCUACUGAGUAUGCACAGCCGUUUCUACAUAAAGUUAAUAGACAAGGAAGCAUAUUAAGUGUAAUGUAUCAGGAUAAAUGUUUUCAAGAUUACUGUCUAGUUUGUUUCUGUCAUGCAGGUAAGGUAUCUCUCCUGAUAAUGCAAGAUACAAAUUAUGGCAAAGAAAAUGAAUUACCUUAUGCUGGCUAUUAUUUCUUCUGUGGAUAGUUUUCUCUUUAAGAGAGCAUAUUUUUUUUUGUAAUAUGACUAUGAAAGCAAUUUCAUGGGUUGUGUGUGAUGUUCUCUGUGCUGAUUCAUAGGUUUUUCAUAGCUAGUUUAUUUUCUCACAAGGCUAAUUUGCCUUGUGCCCCUGAAAGCUGCUCUUCUAUAUCUAUCAGAGACAACGAAGGAUGACACCAGGACGGGAGUGUAACCAUUAGUGUCACAGAGCCACUCAGUUUUGGUAAACGCAAAGCAUUUUUCCUAUAGAAGGAGCUCCAGAUUUGCCAGUGACUUCUGUGGUUAGGGAACAUAUCCCUCAGAAAAUAGACUGAAUCCAUCGAUUUCUUUCACAAAGGCCUGAAGCUGCUGACAAAGAAAGGAGGCAGGAUCUGUAGCUUCACAAGACAAUACUUUAAGCACUGUCACUAGACUAACUGGUGCAGAGUAAAUUUUGCAGGCUGGAAAAAUUGUUCCUUAGCAUUUAAAUCAAUAAAAACCCUCACUAUUGUGUUAAAAAUUAUUAAAGUUCAUUUAAUUGCUGUGUUAGGAAGCCGCAUAGAAGUCAAAUUUAUGGAAAAUUACCAGCAUCGCUCUUCUGAAAGCACCACAGAAAGACUAGUGCCUCUUACAUUCUCUAGGUAUUUAUGUCAGUUCAUCAUGAAACAAAACCAAAAAAAACCACACACACAACCUCCCCCCAGAAGAAACCCCACAGACAAAACCAACAAAAAACAAAACGUGUUUAAUUCCUCUAAGAGAGGUACAGCUAAUCUAGAAUCUGCCAGUUCAUGUGUUUAUUCAUCAGGGGCCCAUAUUAUGUACAUGCCCCAUGAAGCCUCUAUUUGUCAAGGCUAUUGAGUGCCUGACUUGGACCAGUGAACAGCAGAUUCUCUGAAUGAUGUGGAGGCUUAAACACGUAUGUUUCAGCAUCUCCCUGAAUCAAAGCCCAAAGCCAGAGGCAUGGGCACAGCACUUCUGGAGUCUGGGUUAUGAAGCCAUAUGCCUUUCCUUCUGUGACAAUGCCCUCGCAAGGCAGCUCUACUCCACUGGAGAGGUCAAGCAGUCAAUGGGAAAAGGAGACUCAGUGCACAGGAUCUACAGUGGAUCAGUCUUUCCCUGCAGCAGAAUUAAGAUUAUGAAAUCCUCUGACAAACGGUGUACGGAUAACCACUAACCACAAUCAGAAUUAAAUAUCAAUUACAUCUCUUUGACUUAGAUUUCCUGUAACUAGUUGCUCAUGUAGAUUUGGUCUUUGUGUUAUUGUGUACUUAUUUAGUAGAAGACAAACUGCAAAUGAUUACAUUUUUAGCAGAACUGUUUCUCUCUGUAAAAGAAGGUUUACUUCAAGUCAAAACAUUUUGACAAAGAUUUUGUUAACAUGUCAUUUCAGUAAGGUAAAUGUGUAAUUUUUUACAUUUAGUUAAAAUAUUACUUCUAAUAAUAUAAAAUAUCUUUAUGUUGCAUAUAACAAUGUAUAAUCCAGGAGACAAAAUAUGUAUUCUAAAGUAGCAUGAGAAAGUCCUUUGGAUUUUUGAUUUUGAAUUCUGGGCUCAAAGAAUUUGGCUUUCUGUGAAAACAAAACCAAUCAAAUAUGUAAUAGCAUGUUUGGUUAAUUUGCUUCAGUCAGACCAAAGAAUACUCCAAACCUACAUUUGAAAGAAGAAAUGAAGAAAGCACUUGCUGGAAGUCCUUGGUAAUUUUCAAACUACUUCAAAAGUUUUCCAGGGAAACUGAAAGCCUUAUUUGUACAGUAUAUUGUGCUAUAAACUUUGAACUUGACUGAGUUCUCAGUAUUGUGAUAUGCAUGAUUAAUAAUAACAAUUUAUAACAUUUACUAUCAUAAAACAACAGGCUUUGCAUCAUGUUCUUGCACAAUAUGCACUAGAAUUCCCAUUGCUCAGCUUUGAAAUGUAAAAGUUCAGCAGACCUAUCAGUAAUAUAUGAUACUAUGAAAACGUAUUUACUCAGAUUAGUAAGCUUCCAGAGGUAAUUUAUGACAGGAUGAGGUAGCACUUGCUGUCCUGUCUUUAUGUCUAUUUCUUCUUUUUUCUUUUCCUAAGAGAUGCUCUACAACCUGAAUCAUAAGGCAAACAAAAAAAAUCAAAGUGGGUAUAUAAAAGGAAAAAAGUUGAUAAGAGUAAUUAAAUUUAUAUAACGACUUUCAUUAAACACUCCCCAAAAGCUUUGCAAACAUCAGUUGCUUUAAUUAUCCUUUGCUACACCUCAGUGGCAGUGAGGGUUGUUAAGUAAUUAUGCCUGUAGACGUGGAACAGGCACUCACUGCACUUGCCAGGAUGAGAACCAGCUUUAGAGGAAACCACGCGUAGGGCAGAGGAGGCUGGUGGGACAGCGCCUGUGGCAGCAUCUUUUGGUGCUGUAAUCAGCCAAACCUCUCGCACCGCUUCCCUGCCGAUGUCAGCUGUUAGAAGGGAAACGUUCUUGCUGACACUUGGCCUUGGCUCGCUGCCUGGCAAAGCCACUUGUGGGUUCAAAUUCCUUUGGCAUGGUACAGUAAUAUGGCAGUCAUAGCUUUAUCCUUAGAAAUACAUGCUGAGUAGUAUUUAGUGUAAUCAUUUUUCAGAUAAGGCAUUGGAAGUGCAGGCUGGAUACAGCAUUUAACCCCAAAGCCAUUAAUUAUGGCAGGAAUUUUUUCUUUUUAGCUAAAUAUGACUGAACUGUACAUGCAGGAUGUCUGCGGGAUCAGUCUGAAUUGCACAGUAUCCUAACGCUUAACUCCUUGUUCCAGUUAGUCCCUAAGACUGCCUCUGUCAGCGCCCAUGAGCCAAGACACCUAUGUGAUGGUCUUCCCUUUGAGGGUGUCUCAGUAGUUAUGGCAUGCCAGAUACAGUGGUGGGGAGUCCACAUUAAAUAUCUCAUUACUACAGUGAGCAUUGUAGCAUCUGCUGUUCUGAAAGAACAUUUACCAAGGGAAUCUCAAAAUCUGUACAGUGUGCUGACCCAAAACUCUGUCUUCAUACUGGUGCUUGCAUGUGCCUAUCAUAGUUUUUGUAGGAGAAUAGUUCAUAGUGCAAGUCUUGACUUGUGCUAAACCAGAACAGAUACAGCAGGAGAUAUUUAAAGGUGAAAGUGUAGGAGAUUUCUUUUGUUGGAUUAGUACAUGAUACAGGUUCCUCAAAAUACUGGGGAACCAAGAGCAGCAGUCUGAAAAUAAUGAGAUGGGAUGAACUUAUCAGCUGCCUGGCACCCUGACCAGAUACAGGGGGAGUGUUAAGAGAGUAGCACUCUCCAGCUGUUGUUGAAAUGCCUAUGUGUGAAAUCAUUACCAUAUUAAAAAAAAAAAAAAAAAAAAGGUCUAAAAGGUCUGUUUGACUGUUCUGCAGCAUUUACUCAGUGUAUUUGGGCAUUUCCAAAACCAAAACAUCCCUAAGCAUGAACCUCUAAGUACGUCUGCAUGGAGUUGUCAUCGGGGUGUUUGCAAGAUAGAGUAAUCAUGUUUGGCAUGUUUCAUGCACAUACAUUCCAUCUGCCUAUCUUGCCUACACAUACAGCAAGCAAUGAAACAUUUGUGCUGUAAUUUCUGCAGAGAAAUUUGAGGUUUGUGCUCACGUUCCUUUGCAUAUGAUCCCUUUGCCCAGGUACUGCCCACAACACACAGAUCCUGCAGAGUGCUUCUGUGUGCAUGCCAUGCAGAUAGGUAGGAGCAUAACUAAGCUUUAGCAAACUGGUGGAUUCAUCAAGCUCAACGUCAUGGAAAAAAGUACAAGAGGCUUCUGUUGUGUAAGUGACACUUAAUCUUGGCUGGCUGAUUAAGAGAUACUGUAUAUUGUUCAAGUAUUGUAAUCCGGUCGCUUGAAGUUCCCUGUGGUAUAUAGAAAAAACUGUCCUGAUGAAAUGCCAGUUUCUGAGGUUGAUCUCUAACUUCAGCGGGUGUGAAGAGCAAUGGUUGUGAUGCUUAGCCAUUGCCUGCUGAAUUUUGGUUCCCUGGCCCUCCCUUUAUUUCCCCUAGUUUCUUUGUUAGCUUAAGGUAACAAAACCUAAGUAAGUUCCACCUUGCUAUGGAUGGCUACAAUAGCCUGCUGAGGAUAAGGGAGUUGUGACAGUUGCCCUGACAGCACAUCUUUGUUGGGAGUAAACAUGGUGGAGGAAGGGCUCUGGGCCAAAAUAGUAAUUUCCAAAGCAAGGCAGGAUGCAACUGUGAUGGGGACAGCAAACAGCAAGCACUUCACAAGUAGUAUAAUGCAGAGUAUGUUAAAAGGGGUGUAGAAUCCAUUUUCCCAGCUGAAUUAAUCCCUCCCAGUAUGCCUUAAAUUCAUUUCAUAUUGUAUCCCUUCAAUUGAUUUAUUAUUUUAUAACAGAUAAAUCUGAACAAGUUACUUAAUGAGUUCAGCUACAAGGAUGGAUAGGUUAUUUGUUCUGUGUUUUGGUGAUUAUUUUACUACUGUGUGAUUUUCAAAUGAAAAGCAGGCUGCUGUAUGCCUGUGUGCUCAACUGUCCCAGUAGGAUUUUACAUCCUGAGUCAAGGACCUUCCUUCUCCAAAUACCCUCGAGGCUCAUCAGCCACAAACAGAACAGGUGUGACAAGUGGUGCUACUGCUGUCAUUGCCAAAAAACAAUGCAUUUUUUCUUAGUGAUUGCCACAGUCAGCCAUUAGGAUGGAAAAUUCUUGCAGGAACCCAUAGCUGAGAUUUGGCAAAGCAGAUCUGGAGGUCCAGGUGCCAGACACAGCGUUGUGUACUCUGAAUCUAGUGGAGCAGACAACUGCUCAUAUAGGUGCAGGCUGGAGAAUUGGUAAUUACUCUGCCAAGUGAGCACCCAAGCAUGCAGCACGCUGCAGAACAAAGGGUGAAAUUCUUAAUUAAAUGCUUAAAUAAAGGGACUGCUUUUCAAAUCCAGAGUCUUCUGACUUUAAGACAGAGUAGCACGGGUUUGUCCAUUAAAAUACAGAGCGUUAUUUUAGUAUUCUCCUCAUAAAAGUAGCAUAAUGAUUAAUUCAUAUUCACAUUACAAAAAAGAUACAGUAUUUAUAUGCAUAUUGCUUAAACAGAUACUGCUGUAUCCAUAAAGAAUUAGUAAAUGGGCAGUAAGCAUUCAAAACAUCGUGUUCCUGAAUUAACAAAGGCAUGCAUUAACAAUGACGUGUCUUGUACCUGAAACCGUAUUUAGUAGCUAAUUUAACUGACAGGCAAGGAGAAAGAGUUUGUCAUGCAGGUCUUUUUUUCGUUAGACUUUCAGCUAUCAUGCUGUUGGAAAGACCUAAUGCAUAAUACUGUGCAAACCACUUUUUUCCCUCCAGUACAUUGUGUUUAGCCAAGUAGAAACUUCUAUUUUUAUUAGAAAAAACAAUUUUUAUUCUGCAAAAGAAUACCAAUAUUUAGAAAACAAAAAUAUUAUACAAGCUGGCUAAGGAGAGAAAGAUGUAGUCAGGAUGUGGGAAAGAACAACAAAGACUUACCAAGCAAUUCAGAUUAGAAACUAGAAAUCACUAUUGAAAACCUGGUGAAUGUUGCUCAAGGGGAGAGGCAGCUCCGAAUCUCAGCAAGGGGGGUGGGUGGGUUGGUGGCUCAGCCGUGUGACAGGGACCUCUGACUCUGGAGCAAAAGCAGUGCUGAAGAAAAAGAACUGGAAGUGAAGGAGGAGGAAGCUCGUGUACCUUCAGUGCUCUUGUGUAACGCAGGCUGGGAGAUGCAGUUCACUUCCAAAUGAGGUGGAGCAUGUUAGGCUCUAUACUUCUCUCCCAGCAGGAAAGAAUACCGUUUGCUGAGGAAACUGCAUUCAGCGCUGCUGAAGUUGCCUUUGAUUAGUACCUUUGCCUUUCAAUGCAGACUUCCAACGCUCUGUUAUCUUUUGAUGGAUCUGAACUUCACAGAAUCAUGGGGGAUGGCACUGUACCCUUCUGUGCUGACAACUAUGUGAUACAAGAAGCAGAGAAGUGGGAAAGGGCAACGGAACAGUCUUCCAUGGAGAUGAUUUGAGACAUAUGUAUUUGCUUCUGAGGAGGUGGAAAGGAAACUGACACCCUAGGAAACUGUGGGCCACUCAUUAGCCUCUCACUAUCCAAGCUCAAGAAGUCCUGUGUCCCAGGCUGGCAGAAGACGUCUUAAUACACAUAAUGCAUAAACCAUCCUGCUGGAGAAGGGGAAUGCAUGUAAGAAAGGUAGUCAGUUGAAAGAAAUGCUGUUGUGGUCAGUAAUUAAGUUGUGUGACUGUGUAAACACAGAUAAUAUGUAUGCCACAAAGGUUCUGCUUCCUGCUGGGGAAACAAUCAGUGACUGAGGAGUGCCUACAGGGAAGUGUAGGACCUAUUUAAAUGUGUGCAAUGGAAAAUAAGACACAAUUAGCUGUUCGGGCUGUAGUGACACUGAGAUCUAUUGACUUUGUUUAGAGGUUUGCUCAAACCCCUGCACAUGUCUGUGUAUUGCUAGAUGCUGCUUUGUUCUAUGUCUGGGUUAUUUAUAUAUUUUUCCCGGCUGAGUUCAGCCAGGUGGCAAAACAGUCUGAAGACCUAACAGCCAGGGAAGGAGAGAUCUUCAAUGAAAGUGUUUGUGCUUGGCGUUGGCCCCCAGGCUGACAAAGGUUUGUUGGUGGUGGUUGGGGCACAUGAUUCCCAUCCUCCCAUCAUGGCCAGCAGUUGGUUUGACUUCCAAGAAAUGAUACCCCAGGUGUGUCUUGAUGUGAUUGCACAAUAUGAAGAAAGCGGUUGUUUCUCCAGCAACUGGGUCUUCCUGCUCCCGUCUGUUGCUUCUAGUGUUAUACCAUCAGAUUUGUUUACUCAGUUCAUGGUAACAGCCUUUUAAAUAAAAUACUUAGCAUAUUCUGUCUUCACUAUUGACCCAAGAUGCAAUCCUGCAGUUGGUUUGCAUUUUUACAGGAAAGAGAGACAAGUGGUAGUGAUGGGGAAAGGCACAGCAUGUUUUUCAAACUUGUGAUGGAUACAUUAGUAAGAGAUUUUACUUUUGGAUCUAAGGAUCUCCUUUACUCUCAUUCACCAUUGUAUACCAUCCCCAUGGCAACACCAGCGGUUACUUACAAAGAAACACAAUGUUACAAAAGAGUGAAACAUAUUUCUAGCAGCCUUUAAUCCACCUUGGUGGGUAAGAAAUAAGGAGAAGAGCCAUUCCCAUGAGCUCAGCCUGUUCUCUACUGACGGGUGUAAGAUUGUGAGAGGGAAAGUUCUGGUGGUGGGCAAAUGGCUAAAAAUUUCUUACUAUGGCAUUUUUUUCUUCCCUUUAAACUUCCCAUCAAAUACCAUUUACUCCUUAUCAAAUACCAUUUACAACUCUUCAGAACUAUUCUGCUCUUGUGACUUGUGGAUUCCCAUUCCAGUGUAUUUCAGGUGUGUAACUGAAAUCAGCUGGGACAUGAAAACCUGAAAAGGUUUGAGUAUUGGGCCUAAUAGUUACAUGCAUAUUCUCAAGUUUAGAUUUUUCCAGAACAUGAAACCAAGAGUCAAAUAAAUUGCAGAAUGCAUAAUCUAGCAGCUUUUUUCCCUUUUCUUUUCAAAAUGCUGGUGUCACUUAUGAAGCAGUGCACAUCCAAUUUGAUGCACAAAUAGCUUCUGCAUGGCCAGACAUGAGUCCUAACCCUGUAGUUUGCCCAGAACAUAAAGAAUCAAGGCUAAGCAUUGAUGCUCUCAGGCAAAUUGCUAACAAGUUUCUUUUAGUGUCCAGAUGGUUUCAUGUUUGUCACAUGUUUUCAUAUUUGGAAUAGUUAAAUGCUACCAGGCAGAAUUUGAAAGUAAGUUUUCUGUAAUUUCUGUAAUCCAAAGCAGUUUGCAGUAUUUGCUGCCAGGACAGAUUUGGAUGUUGACUGAAGUAUUAAAAAAUACAACCUCUGUGAAACUGGUUAUGUGAAAAGGACUAAACAUUUAUGACGGAAGGCACAGAACAAGCAACUACUUUGUAUGUCCCUUCUACUAUACUUUUGCCCUCCAUGCCCACUUUCCCUUCCCCAGGGCAUUUCACUACAGCUGAAUCCUGCCCUUUACAAACUGCCUUUCUUUUCUGGCUUUUGGUCCCUUUGACAGAAGUUGCAAGUCAUGCUAGUUUGCAACAGCUCUGUGAUGUAUGCAAAAGAGGAAAAACAGGAUCAGAGCCCCAUGUUCAUGUUUGCUUGUAGCCUAGGGAAAGACUUCAACUCAGGUUUGCAGAAGGAUAAGGGAUAAUCUUUUUUGUUGUUACAAUUCUCAGUAUGUUUCAAAAAUUGUCAUGGCCUAAAGCCCACAGCUUAAAACCUGGUGUUGAAUUUGUGCUUCCUUUGAUAAGAAAGAAAAAAAACAAAAAAACAAACCACCAUGGUGCUUGUACAGGUCUGAAAGAAUGUCAGGCACAGCACUGAGUGCAGGUCUUUUAUGUAGGCAGGCAGAAAUAAACUGCUCACUUGCCAUUUUCUAAGAUCUUCUGACAUAUUGAGGCAUGUCUUUUAUGAAAAACUGUUCCCUAUUUCUAAAAGAACUCUGCAUGAGUUCUUGUUUGGUAGCUUAAGGCAAAAAUGAAGGUAGAACAAGACUUGCUUUUCUGCAAAUUAUUAUACAUUUGAUCAUGUAGGGUUAACCUCGACCAGCAGAGCUGCACUGCUAGGUCGGUGAGGGCUUCUGCAAAAAACUUGCCUUGCGUGUUGCUUGCAAACAGGCACUUCCGAGCCUCCCUGGAGGGAAGGGAUGGGAGUCACAGCCUCGAAAAGCAAGCCUGCUGCCCUGUACAUCCAGUUGGUUGUGUGGCAGGAGGUAUUUGUUACCCUAAAAAUGCCCAAGAAGCAAAGUACAGCAGGGUAACUAGCAUUCCUCCUCCUCACAGGUCCUGACAAAGACAAGAGAGAAAAUCUUCUGCCACAAGUCCAAAGCUGAGAGUUGGUUUAAGGCUGACUAUCUGAGCAGGUCUCACAAAGUGUUUGCUUCCUUAGCCAAUGACCUCUGCAGUGCAAAGUAACUGUGGAUCCCACUGCAGACUUAACAGGCAGAAAAGGGAUAGCUGGACAGCAAAGCAUGUGCACAAACUGUCCAGGACAAGUCCCAGAUAUUCUUGAGCGAGGAUUUAUCUUAGAGAUUCAGAGCUGUUAUUUUCUUCACUGGUUUGCUGUACAGGUUUAUGAAAAGGUGCAUGUUAAUGGCGCUCAGCUGUUCUGAAAGUACAUGAAAUACACAAAAAACAUACAUAAGUCCAAAACAGACAGUAUUGUUGAUGCAAAAGUUGGAAAACAGUGGUUGGACGAUUGUGAAGUGGCAACUUUUGUGUGAUUAUUUCGUGCUAUAAUUUCAUGCUGAGUAUUUAUUUCCAAAAUCUAAAGCAACGGUUGGUGAAUAUGACAGAAAUAGUUCACAAUAAAACAGGAUUCAAUUCAGGUAUGAUUUCAGUUAUAUUCUUACGUAUUGAAAACAUAUGGAUACAACAGCCUGCCUACUGUCAGGAUAGAAUGACUAUUUAGUAGACUAAUGUAAUAAACUAGACAGUUAUGAUCAGUUAUUAUCUGCUUAUGUUGGAUCUUCCUAAACAUACUGAGUGUUAUUUGCAAGUAAAUGAAUUUUUGAAUACUGUC